AAUUGAAGCAGAGGACAGUGGCGGACGGGUGAGUAACGCGUGAGGAACCUGCCUUUCAGAGGGGGACAACAGUUGGAAACGACUGCUAAUACCGCAUGACACAUCGGAGUCGCAUGGCUCUGAUGUCAAAGAUUUAUCGCUGAAAGAUGGCCUCGCGUCUGAUUAGCUAGUUGGUGAGGUAACGGCCCACCAAGCCGACGAUCGGUAGCCGACCUGAGAGGGUGAUCGGCCACAUUGGGACUGAGACACGGCCCAAACUCC
rnacentral:rRNA from 1 species